ACAGGGGAGCUAACAAAAGUUUGCUGAGAGGAAGUUGUGUGACUUCGACCCUUUAACCUGAUUCGGGUAAUACCGACGUAGGGAAGUGCACAUGUA
rnacentral:ncRNA from 1 species